rnacentral:rRNA from 1 species
UACGGGGGGGUAAGCGUUAUUCGGAAUUAUUGGGCGUAAAGGGCGCGUAGGCGGCUUUGCAAGUGACGGGUGAAAUCCCUCGGCUUAACCGAGGAACUGCCUGUCAAACUGCAUGGCUUGAGACCGGGAGAGGUGAGUGGAACUCCCAGUGUAGCGGUGAAAUGCGUAGAUAUUGGGAGGAACACCAGUGGCGAAGGCGGCUCACUGGACCGGUACUGACGCUGAUGCGCGAAAGCGUGGGGAGCGAACAGG